UUAAAUAGUAACUUCACGAAAGAACUCAGUAUCUCCAUUUCACAGAUGAGGAAACACACGGGCCUAUUAACUUUCCUGGCAACCGAAUUCUAGGCUUAGGGAUUGAGUCUCACAGUACAGACAAGCCGGUGGGAGACCAAGCGUUCCUGCCGGGUGAGUACAAGCUGGGCGCAGAGCAGCACACUCACCCAUUGGAAAGGGCGCGGGGCACCCACAGGGACCCCUAGACCAGCGUUGGAGUCGCUGCGCCCAUUUACUGCGGUCCCGGCGCACCGCGUCUGUGCCUCCCCGCGCCUCCCCGCGGCUCACCCAGAGUAGAUGACGGCAAGAAGAGCAGCAGGACGACCAGCUGGACCCCGCCACGGCAGAAAGCUACAAGGCGACCCACAGGGCCCAGCCGCUGUGAUCUCCGAGAACCCUUCAAGUCCAUCUCACUGGUCUCAGGCACAGUCGAAGAGCAAAGAGAAGGCAACCACGCCCAGGGUGCAAGCAAUGGCGCUGAGUUCCGGAGUAAAGCUUUCGACCACAGCUUCCUCUUGUUGGGCGGGGUCUUGUUUAUUACUCUUUCGUGGGGUUUCCGUGGAAUGUCUCCCGGGAAAUCGCUCCAGGGACGCAGGCACAGGAUCAAAACCUAGCAAGCCAGUUGCAGUAUGUUUUCCUGUUUGUAAGUACCUUCGGUUCCAAGGAAAGCGAGGCAUUGUGGGAACUCGGUUUGCAUUUGACCCGGCCUUAUUCUCCCCCCCCCCCUUUUUUUUUUUCAAAAUACGCAAGGGUGGAGCCUAACCCUAACCUGCCACGGAGAGCCCACAGUUGCCCUGUGUUGUGUACAGUAAGAACCUAUUUCCUUAUGAUGAAUUCAGCUGUAACGUGCCACUGGAAACAAAAAUUAAAGCAGUGAGUUGAUCAGACAAAUUUUGCAAAUAUGUCGACGCAAAAAACACAGCUCUCAUCUCAGAAAGAAUGAGUUUAUUCUGGAGUCAUUUUGAGGGACGAUGGCCCUGGAACAAUGAUUUAGGUUACCUAAAUUCCAUGUCCCAAUGUGGAAGCAGUUCCACUGAGUUUUUAUGAUUUUACAGAGCAGAGAAAGUCUUAAAUCAAGUUUAAAAUACGUUGGUGGGUACAUCAGAGAAGCAGGGAUAUUAAUUCGGGGGAAGCUUUUCUGUAGGCCCAAGAUGCUAUCUGAUGGCACUCUUAGCUUUUGGACGGUAGAAGCUAGUUGCCUGCUAAGUUAGUAGAUUCUAAAAGAUUAUUUAUUGUUUGUUUGCUUGCUUUGGGUUUUUGUUUUGUUUGAUCUACUGUCUCAAGAGGUUAGUUUUAACACGGGGGAGGGCAUGGAAUGACUAUUUCGGAGGACCAGAACAAGAUAAGGUAAUCAGCGUCUGGACCUGCAACAUUGGGUGCCCUGCCCUAGAGAUAAUUGUAGGGAGCUAACUUCUAAGUUAUGUAGAUUUGACUAUGAGAACCAAAAGUUUCCUUGACUGUGUUUUCACACCAGGGCCCCAAGGUGUCGGGGAAGGUUAUCCAGUUUGCCAGGACAAGAGGGGGUUGUGCCCAAUAAUUGAUUAAUACACUGCAGGGGCUUAGGGAAAAAAAUCCCAUUAUGGAAAAGGGAGAGCAAUAGGUUUCACAAGGGUUUUACAGGGAUGGCAGUGACUAUUCAAGGGCAGGUAUCCCCAAGGCUUUGCAAGUGGGGAUUUUCUCCAGCAGAAUUCCAUUGUGAGUUUGUCUACUGAAAUCCCACUGUAUGAUCUUGUGGACCACAACAAUUCCCUGCUUUUCGUCUAAUAAAUUCAGUAUAUGAA